rnacentral:rRNA from 1 species
AUUGAACGCUGGCGGCAGGCCUAACACAUGCAAGUCGAGCGAGCGGCGGACGGGUGAGUAAUGUAUGGGGACUGCCCGAUAGAGGGGGAUAACUACUGGAAACGGUAGCUAAUCCCGCAUACUAUCGGAUAACCCAUAUGGGAUUAGCUAGUAGGUGAGGUAAUGGCUCACCAAGGCAACGAUCCGUAGCUGGUUUGAGAGGACGACCAGCCACACUGGAACUGAGACACGGCCCAGAUUCCUACGGAGGCACCAGUGGGGAAUAUGGCACAAUGGGCGCAAGCCUGAUGCAGCCAUGCCGCGUGGAUGAAGAAGGCCCUAGGGUUGUAAAGUACUUUCAGUCGGGAGGCGUUACCGACAGAAGAAGCACCGGCUAACUCCGUGCCAGCAGCCGCGGUAAUUC